rnacentral:rRNA from 1 species
GACGAACGCUGGCGGCGUGCUUAACACAUGCAAGUCGAACGGAAAGGCCCUGCUUUUGUGGGGUGCUCGAGUGGCGAACGGGUGAGUAACACGUGAGUAACCUGCCCUUGACUUUGGGAUAACUUCAGGAAACUGGGGCUAAUACCGGAUAGGAGCUCCUGCUGCAUGGUGGGGGUUGGAAAGUUUCGGCGGUUGGGGAUGGACUCGCGGCUUAUCAGCUUGUUGGUGGGGUAGUGGCUUACCAAGGCUUUGACGGGUAGCCGGCCUGAGAGGGUGACCGGCCACAUUGGGACUGAGAUACGGCCCAGACUCCUACGGGAGGCAGCAGUGGGGAAUAUUGAACAAGGGGCGGAAGCCGGAUGCAGCAACGCCGCGUGCGGGAUGACGGCCUUCGGGUGGUAAACCGCUUUCGCCUGUGACGAAGCGUGAGUGACGGUAAUGGGUAAAGAAGCACCGGCUAACUACGU